GGCAGCACAGUGGAUAGCGCUGUUACCUUCGAAUACAGAAGUUCCAGGUUCGAGUCCUGGCUGGUCG